UUCAAUGGGCGGGCCGUGGCGAGGGAGCCGCGAGGCUCGCCGGUUUGCUACUGUCCCGGUCUUCCAACCUCGUUACGUGCCCGCUCACCCAU
rnacentral:antisense_RNA from 2 species